AUUGAACGCUGGCGGCAGGCCUAACACAUGCAAGUCGAGCGUGAAAGUCCUUCGGGAUGAGUAAAGCGGCGGACGGGUGAGUAACGCGUAGGAAUCUACCUGAUAGUGGGGGAUAACGUCCCGAAAGGGGCGCUAAUACCGCAUACGUUCUGAGGAAGAAAGCAGGGGAUCGCAAGACCUUGCGCUAUCAGAUGAGCCUGCGUCCGAUUAGCUAGUUGGUGGGGUAAAGGCCUACCAAGGCGACCAUCGGUAACUGGUCUGAGAGGAUGAUCAGUCACACUGGAACUGAGACACGGUCCAGACUCCUACGGGAGGCAGCAGUGGGGAAUAUUGGACAAUGGGGGCAACCCUGAUCCAGCCAUGCCGCGUGUGUGAAGAAGGCCUUCGGGUUGUAAAGCACUUUAAGCGGGGAGGAAGGCUCGGCAGCUAAUACCUGUCGGGAUUGACGUUACCCGCAGAAUAAGCACCGGCAAACUUCGUGCCAGCAGCCGCCGUAA
rnacentral:rRNA from 1 species